CCGAGCUCACGUCAAGCAGCCCAGGAGUCCGCAGAGAGGACAAAGGCCAAGGCAACUGAUGUCGACCUGGGGGUUCCCAAGCCAGUGCCCCCUCCUGGCACGCUUGCAGAGGAGCGAUGGGAACUCCUAUUGCUGGACAGCUCCCCAGCGACCAUCGAAGUCACUGCUUGCAGAAACCAUUUGCUUUUAAAUGAAAACCCUACAACUGAUGAAGUUUAAGGAUUAAUUUCUAUUAUAGCGCAAAUCCAGAGCAUUUAGCUGGGUCCUGUGAAUAAGUGGCAGGUCAGUUCCAUUGAUUUCAGCAAGACUUCCAAUAUUUGAGGGGCCGCCACAAGGAAAACGGAGGUCCACCUAUUCUCCAAAGCAGCAGAAGGCAGGACAAGAAGCAAUGGAGGGAAGCUAAUUAAGGAGAGAAGCAACCUAGACCUUCAGAGCUGGAGAAGCUUCUUGGAUGAGAAGCAAAAGGUCUUCAAAGAAAAACAAGAAAGUCCAGUUGCCUCUUGAAAAAGCACCUUUGGGAAUAACCAUUACCUGGAUGACUGAGAAUCUCCAUUGACGUCAACUUAGAACUAAGGAGAAAUUUCCUAACUGUGAGAACAAUUAACCAGUGGAACGGCUUGCCUUAAGAAGUUAUGGUUGCUCCAUCACUGGAGGCUUUUAAGAAGAGACUGGACAGCCAUUUUUUUGUAAUUAUAAUUAUAUUAUAGGGGUAUCCUGUUUGAGCAAGGGGUUGGGCUAGAAGACCUCUAAGGUCCCUUCCAACUUUUUUAUUCUGUUAAUAUAAAGCUCAAAUCAUUAUUUGAGGGGCCUGGUGGCGCAGCUGGCUAAUAGCCUGUUAUUAACAUUCAGCUGCCUGCAAUUACUGUAAGUUCGAAUCUCCCCAGGCUCAAGGUUGACUCAGCCUUCCAUCCUUUCUAAGGUAGGUAAAAUGAGGACCCAGAU